UACCAGGUCUACGUCUGCGCCAGGCGAGCAGGGUAGAAGAUCUACUACAUAAUGCUGUACGAUCGUACUGACUGUUUGUGUAGUCUGUCUGUGUAGUGACUUGUUUACAGUUGCAGUUGAAUGUCGGACACACUGUGAAGAGCUCUGUUGAAGAAAGACUGAGCAGUUUUGUUGCCUGGUUGAAAAAUAAGCAAGUCAGUCACUGAGUCAGUGUUUUGUUUUCAGAACGUUUCGACCUCGUGCUCAGGGCGGCCCGUGCGUUUCGGUCAGCACAAACCCAACACGCCAGUACUGCAGUGCAGUGUCAUUGCUAGUUUGUUAGCGACUGCCGGACAAAGUGGUAGCGGUUGAGCCGGUCGCAGUCGUUACAACGGCCCCACUCUGCGUGGAAAGCAGGUGGGGCCGGUUUCUCUUGUAGGUGUACGUGCUUGCCACGCCACGCAACCGUUGGUGACGACGCAUCCCUCUCUGCAUCGUCGAGCGCAGCAGCAGCAGCAGCAAGGGACAUACAGGAAGGCAAAAUCAUGGCUGA